rnacentral:rRNA from 1 species
GACGAACGCUGGCGGCGUGCUUAACACAUGCAAGUCGAACGGAAAGGCGCGGCUCUUGUGGGGUGCUCGAGUGGCGAACGGGGGAGUAACACGUGAGUAACCUGCACCUGACUGUGGGAUAAAUCCAGGGAACUCGGGCUAAUACCGGAUAGAAGCUCCUGAUGCAUGGUGGUGGAUGGAAAGAUACGGCGGUUGGGGCUGGUCUAGCGGCUUAUGAGCUGGUUGGUGGGGUAGUGGCUUACCAAGGCUUUGACGGGUAGCCGGCCUGAGAGGGUGACCGGCCACAUUGGGCCUGCGAUACGGCCCAGACUGCUACGGGACGCAACGGGCGGGAGUCUUACGCAAUAGGCGGACGCGUGUUGUGGCAGCGCCGCGUGCGGGAUGACGUCCUUCGAGGUGAAAACCGAUUUGGCCUUUGCCGAGGAGUGCGUGACGGUACUGGGUAAGAAAGCACCGGCUAACUACGUG